GCAGUAGCCACGGUAAUACGGAGGAUCCAAGCGUUAUCCGGAAUCAUUGGGUUUAAAGGGUCCGUAGGCGGUCUUGUAAGUCAGUGGUGAAAGCCCAUCGCUCAACGGUGGAACGGCCAUUGAUACUGCAGGACUUGAAUUAUUGGGAAGUAACUAGAAUAUGUAGUGUAGCGGUGAAAUGCUUAGAGAUUACAUGGAAUACCAAUUGCGAAGGCAGGUUACUACCAAUUGAUUGACGCUGAUGGACGAAAGCGUGGGUAGCGAACAGGAUUAGAUACCCCUGUAGUCCCUGUCUCUUAUAA
rnacentral:rRNA from 1 species